CAACCGACCCAAGCCGGCGUCGCAGUGACAGACAGACUCUCUUCUUCUCUCUCUCUCUGUCUCUCCCUCCCCCCCCCUUUGCAGAUAAACCAAACAACGAGCGGAAGCAAUAAUAAUAACUCCCCCGCUCUGAUUUUUGCAGCACACCCCUCAUAUGGAGGCGGCGAGCGCAAAGGAAGCUUCAAGAGGCAUCCUCCACCACCCUUCGCCGCCGCCUCCCUCGAUCUUCCGAAGGUAAUCUUCUGCGACUGAUCACUCUAACUGAGGCGCGCUAGGGUUAGGGUUUGGGCCAGGCCUCCUCUCGAUCGGUGGCUGGGAGAGGAUGGGGUCGGAUCUGAUCCUACUUACUCGGCUAUUCCCUCCCGUUUUUGGAGGGUUCCGGGGGGUUUAUUAGCGGCGGAUCCCGGAAGGUGUCGACUUUCUUUGUCUUUUGUUCCUGUUCGAUUCCUCUUUCCUUGUUCUAGGGUUCGCUCUUUUGAUCGUGAGUGAUAGUGGAUGAUAGAAAGGGUCUUCCUUUUUGUUUUUUCGAAAGGGAGAAAUUUGUUAUAGUUUUUUUUUUAAUUGGUGGUGGGAUUUAUAGGAUGGAAUUGUGAGGAUUUCAUGUGGUUGUGGAUCUCGAAUCUUGAUAGAUAGAUAGGAGCCGAAGAGGAGAGAAGAGGUGAUCGAGGGAAGAAGAGACGGAGAGGGGCGAGCGAGAGCACGCCAUGGGGGAGUCCCUUCUUACUGCUCUCUCCAUGGACCAUCACCACCACCACCACCACCACCACCCCUCGACCCUUCUGUCCAUGGACCCCAGCGGCGUUUCUCAGCCGUCACUCGCUGCAGCUUCCGCCCAUGACGACUACGACCAUGAGCUUCUGGGCCAGCAGCGCCCGCAGAUCACCCUCUCCGGCCCUCCUGACAUCAAUCUUCCACUCGCCGGUGACCGCUCCCCUCCCCAACAGUCGUGGAACCCUGUCUCCUGCGACAUGCUGGAUGUCCGCCUCGGAACCCAGGUGUAUGACGCUGACACCGCGCUCAACCUCCCCAAGGUUGGGAUCAUUCCUGCCGGGGGGCGCAAGUGCGCCAAGCGAGGGGAUAGCAUUUGGGGUGCAUGGUUCUUCUUCAAUUUCUAUUUCAAGCCUGUGCUCUCUGAGAAGUUCAAGGGCAAGAUCAUCCAUGAUGCAAAUGGCUUCUCGGGUUUCGAUAAGUCCGACCUGUGUCCUGAUGUGUUCCUUGUUCAGCAUGACAUGGAGAAUAUGUACAUGUGGGUGUUCAAGGAGCGACCGGAGAAUGCACUUGGAAAGAUGCAGCUGCGGAGCUACAUGAACGGGCACUCGCGUCUUGGGGAGCCUCAGUUCCCAUUCAGCGUCGACAAGGGCUUUGCAAGGUCACAUCGGAUGCAGCGCAAGCAGUAUAGGGGGCUGUCAAAUCCACAGUGUGUCCAUGGAAUUGAGGUCGUGUGGUCACCAAACCUUUCUAUGGUUUCCGAGGCGGAUUGCAAGAAGUGGGUGGAUCUUCUUGGGAGGGACCUGAAUUUCUCGAUUCCACCGGAGGCUAGUGAUUUUGGGUCAUGGAGAAAUCUUCCGAGCACUGAUUUUGAGCUUGAAAGGCCACCACCUCCUUUAAAGAAUAUUUCUCACCUUAAUUCGAGGAAAUUGCUUAAUGGCACAGGCCUUAAUCUGUCAACACAACCAUCUCAUGCAGGUGGAGAUUGUAUGGACCUUUCACCAAAAUGCAGCAAACGCAGGAAGGAUUUUUUCCCCCACGGGACAGAUGAGGACUGCUGCUUGAGUAACAACUCAUACUGCCAAGAUAUGGAAAUUCGCCCUGCUGAACCGUCAUGGGUAAAUGAGUUUACGGGUGUUAUGAGGCAUGCGUGUGGACCGGUGACUGCUGCGAAGACAAUAUAUGAGGAUGAAGAAGGGUAUUUGAUCAUGGUUAGCUUGCCUUUCUCUGACCAGCAGAAGGUGAAAGUCUCUUGGAAAAACAAUCUUACUCAUGGAAUAGUAAAGAUAUCAUGUGUCAGUACUGCUCGGAUGCCUUACAUAAAAAGGCAUGAUAGAACCUUCAAGCUGACAGAUCCUUCCCCGGAACAUUGUCCUCCAGGGGAAUUUGUGAGGGAAAUACCUCUUGCUACACGAAUUCCUGAAGAUGCCAAUCUGGAAGCAUACUACGAUGAGACGGGAACUGUUUUGGAGAUUAUGAUCCCUAAACAUCGAGUUGGAUCUGAGGAACAUGAAGUUCAUGUGUGCAUGCGCCCUCCUCAUCUUGGAUCCAAUGAACUUUUGUUAUCUUGAAUACGAUACAUUAACAUCAAAAGUAGAAUGAUGAAUGUGCUGGUUUAAUGGUAUGGAGGAUAUCAUGGUGGAGCCUGACUUUUCUGCUUCCAAGCAGAAUCAAUGAUAUUUAGAAAGUAAUUGGCAAGAUGGAUCACUUUCUUCAUUUGCCUAGACCACAUAUCAACUGAAUGUGGCUCUGCAGGUGAGCAGAUACAAGUUUCUCAAGUGCAUCGGGAUGGCUUGCAGUAUUAUGAUCUGAGUUUGCUGGUCACAGGCAAAGACUUGUGUGGUCUCAUUUUGGUGACGCAGUCUGAGAUAAGAUGGCCACCGAAGCUUAAAGAUGGUACACGAGCCAAGAAGGUUUGAUGACAUUUGUACUACUGUAGGUUGUUUGCCAUGUCCGGCUCUCAUCCUAUUUCUCAUGCUUUGCCGUUCCCUGUCUGCCGUCGUGGCGCUGUUGUUUGUUUGCUUUCGAUUACAAGAUCCGUGCUAACCACAG